CAGAUUCUCAUCUUUCAGUCUGUAUCAUUUCAAUGUCAUCUGCUACAGAGAGGAACCUAGAUAAGGAAGCAGGAGUUUUCUGAUCACCCCCAACCCCCGAUGGCCGUGACUUCCACGGGUGGGGAAUUUCGGAAAACCUGAGUCCAGAAGGUUCAAUAAACACACAUCCAGAGCCAGUGAAACCUGCUCUACCCAUGAAUUUUAACUUCAGAGAAUGGUAACUUGAGAUUUAAGGAGAGUUCUUCAGAGGAUGGAAAGACUGGGAGCAAUAUCACCCCCGCCUCCCUAAGGAAAGACAGGUGUUUCCAAGGAAAGGCAUGAUGUGAGCAUGUACUUUCUGGGGGGCCUGGGGGUGCCAGAUGCCCUAAAAGCCAGUGAAGAGAAUUCUUCUCAAAUGCUGCUCGGAUCGCUGAGAGCCUGGAUGAGGAUGCAGAACCCCAGGGGUCAGAGACACAGAGGGGUCACAUGCUAGUGGGGCUGUCUUCCCUGGAUCCUUACCUGGUGCUCCCAAGAGAGAUGGAGGCAGGAUGUGAGUGUGGGAGAGCCCCUUGGUGUGUAUUUUAAUAAACUCAGUUUAUUGAUGUAUUGUGGUGAGGGAGAACACAUACCUUGGGGAAGUGUGGACUUCUCAGUAAGAGAGCAUCAAAAGGACUUAGCGUAGGACUGGGACCUGUGUUAAGUGACUUGCGAAGUGGAGUUUCUCGAAUUAGAUGCUGUUAGGAAGUGGGGGGUAUUUCUGUGAUUAAGCAUUGCUAUGGUUUGAAUGUUUGCCCCCUUCAAAACUCAUGUGAGAGCGUUGGGAAGUGGGACUGUUAAGAGGUGUUCAGCUCAUGAAUGGAUUCAUGCUAUUAUGAUGGUUUACCUCCUCUCUGUCUCUCUGCCUUGUUAUGAUACAGCAAGAAAGUCCUCACCAGAUGCCAGCACCUUGAUAUUGGACUUCCUAGACUCUAGAACUAUGGCUCUGUGUGAUUCAGGUGUUCCGUAAAGUGUGGGUUCACCAGGAGAACAGCUUCGCCUGACUGUGAGCACCAGGACGGCUCCCAUCUGAUGACAUAACGACUUGGACAGAUUGCAAGAGAAUAGUGCAAAAGGCUGGUCUCAAAAUGCUGCAGGGUGAAUGCCUCCAUUUGUGUAAUAUUCUUCAAAUGACACAGUUACAGAGAGGAAGCUUUUAAAGAAUAGCAGAUCAGCUUCAACUCCCAUAAGUAAAAUGGACUUAAGUUCUGAGAAGGUGGGGGAUCAGGGGCGGCCGGCUCCAGGCUCAGUGGAGGUAGCAGGUGUUUCUGCUCAGCCUGGGCUGAUCUUCUGCAAUGGCUUGGUCUUGUGACCCCAUACCCCCACUUUGUGGCACCUCCUGUCCUGGCUCUGACCCGCUGCCCAGCCCCCAUCUGGGCCCUGAUCCAUCCCAGGUCUCUCCCAGCAUGGACACCUGAGGGCGACUGGUUCCCCCUUGCAGCUCUGAGGGUCCUAGAUAGAGACGGAGGCUCUUUCCCAGCACUCCCUGUGCAAGUCCCAGCCUGGUUCUGAUUGGCCACAGUGGGUCACAUGUUUGUCCCAGAACCAAUCACUGGGAAUGGGAUGGAGUUGCUUGAUUGGUCAGACCUGCAUCACAUGACCCCCUUGUGAGGUCAGCAUCCAACCACAGAAAAGGGGGGGUGGUCGCUGUGCAGAGAAGAGGUGCCAGCAGCAGAGCCCGCCCUGUCCGCUCUGUGGUUCCACAUCCGUGCCUCUGAGGACCUUGGACUCCCAGAGCGAGGCCGCAGGGUGCGGAGAAUGCCUGACAGGCUCCCUUGCCCUGCCUGUGGCCUGCGGAGGACCCCCAGGGACAGUGAGGGGGGGCGCCUUGCCAGUCCUGACGUCCUCCUUAUCGUAGGUCUUGUGUUCCUGAUCCCAUUUCUUCUCUGAUUUUCAAAUUAAUGUUUUUUCUUUCAACUCCCACUCAAACCAAAAUAUUUUAUUUUUAAUUGACAAAUAAUAAUAGUAUAUACAUACGGGCUGACAGAUACAUGAAAAAUGCUGAUCAUCCCGGCCCCUCCAGUCAGGGCAGAGCUGAGGUUGGCCUGGGGCCGUGUCAGAGCGAGGGGCGUCUCUGGGCUGUGCCCGCAACCAAAACCUCCCACAGCAACCCUGCAUCAGGGCCAGAGUGGCUGUACCGGGAGCUAGACACUGGUCCACAGGAAAAGCUGCCUGUGAUGUGUCUCUGCCAGUGGGUGAACAGAUCACCAAAGUCACAAAGUCGUGGGCCAUAGGGCAGGACCCCGGCCUGUGUUUGUGGCCUAGACUGAGGCACAGCACAGUUGGGUUUUUUGGAGGUCUUGUCCUUUGAGCUGCUGCUUCUGAAGAGUGAUGCUUUCAGGAGGGAAUGAGGUCGUGGGGAUUUGCCCUCUGAAUGGGAUCUGUGGCCUUCGAAAAGAGGCCUGAUUUGGUUUGGAUCCAUGUCCCUUCCCGAAUCUCACAUCGAAUUGUAUUGGAGGUGGGGCCUGGUGGGAGGUGGUUGGAUCAUGGCGUGGAUUGUUCAUGAGUGGUUUAGCACCGGCCCUUUGCUGCUGCUGUCGUGACAGAGUUCUCAUGAGAUCUGGUUGUUUAAAAAUGUGUGGCACCUCCCAUCCCUCGGUGUUCCAUUGGUGUGAGAUGCCGGCUUCCCCUUCGCCUUCCGCCACGAUUGUGAGUUUCCUGAGGCCUCCCCAGAAGCCAAGCAGAAGCCACUAUGCUUCCUGUACAGUCUGUGGAACCGCGAGCCAAUUAAACCUCUUUUCUUUAUAAAUUACCCCAUCUCAGGUGUUUCCUUACAGCAGCGUGAGAACGGCCUAAUACGAGACCUGCUGAAGCGCCUGUCCCUUCUCCCUGUGAGGAUGCAGUGAGAGGGCGCCCGAGAGCCCUCACCAGAUACGGAGGCCUCUGGCCCCUUGACCUUGGCCUUCCCGGCCUCCAGCACUGUGAGCAACACGUCUCUGUUGUUUCCAAUGACUCAGUCUGAGGGAGUUCGUUAUGGCAGCCCAAAUGGACUGAGACGCCUCCUCCACGUGUGUAUUUCAUAAACGUUAUAAAACCA